rnacentral:rRNA from 1 species
CCGCGUGAGUGAAGAAGGCCUUCGGGUUGUAAAGCUCUUUCGGUGGGAACGAAACGGUCACGGUGAACAGCCGUGAUCAAUGACGGUACUCACAGAAGAAGCACCGGCUAACUACGUGCCAGCAGCCGCGGUAAUACGUAGGGUGCGAGCGUUAAUCGGAAUUACUGGGCGUAAAGCGUGCGCAGGCGGCUGGCUAAGACAGGUGUGAAAUCCCCGGGCUCAACCUGGGAAUGGCGCUUGUGACUGGCCGGCUCGAGUGCGGCAGAGGGAGGUGGAAUUCCACGUGUAGCAGUGAAAUGCGUAGAGAUGUGGUGGAACACCGAUGGCGAAGGCAGCCUCCUGGGCCGACACUGACGCUCAUGCACGAAAGCGUGGGGAGCAAACAGGAUUAGAUACCCUGGUAGUCCACGCCCUAAACGAUGUCGACUGGUUGUUGGGGAAGGCAACUUCCUUAGUAACGAAGCUAACGCGUGAAGUCGACCGCCUGGGGAGUACGGCCGCAAGGUUA